UACGAAGGGGGCUAGCGUUGCUCGGAAUCACUGGGCGUAAAGCGCACGUAGGCGGAUUGCUAAGUCAGGGGUGAAAUCCUGGAGCUCAACUCCAGAACUGCCUUUGAUACUGGCGAUCUCGAGUCCGGGAGAGGUGAGUGGAACUGCGAGUGUAGAGGUGAAAUUCGUAGAUAUUCGCAAGAACACCAGUGGCGAAGGCGGCUCACUGGCCCGAUACUGACGCUGAGGCACGAAAGCGUGGGGAGCAAACAGGG
rnacentral:rRNA from 1 species